AAUCGAUCUUCUAGUUCUAGUGAAGGGUCUGCCACAUAUGCUGGGGGCUCUAUCAACAUUGGGGAGCAUCGAAAACGAAUGGCACAUGAAUUGGGGACGGAACCGACAUUUGCAGCUACAUUUGAACGCACAUUUCAAAAAAAAGAUAAGACAUGGACUGGCGAUCGAGCAAAAGCUAUUAAGG